GGGUUGUGAGGUUAAGCGACUAAGCGUACACGGUGGAUGCCCUGGCAGUCAGAGGCGAUGAAGGACGUGCUAAUCUGCGAAAAGCGUCGGUAAGGUGAUAUGAACCGUUAUAACCGACGAUGUCCGAAUGGGGAAACCCAGUGUGAUUCGUCACACUAUCGUUAACUGAAUACAUAGGUUAACGAGGCGAACCGGGGGAACUGAAACAUCUAAGUACCCCGAGGAAAAGAAAUCAACCGAGAUUCCCCCAGUAGCGGCGAGCGAACGGGGAGCAGCCCAGAGUCUGAAUCAGCUUGUGUGUUAGUGGAACGGUCUGGAAAGUCCGACGGUACAGGGUGAUAGUCCCGUACACCAAAAUGCACAGGUUGUGAACUCGAAGAGUAGGGCGGGACACGUGGUAUCCUGUCUGAAUAUGGGGGGACCAUCCUCCAAGGCUAAAUACUCCUGACUGACCGAUAGUGAACCAGUACCGUGAGGGAAAGGCGAAAAGAACCCCGGCGAGGGGAGUGAAAAAGAACCUGAAACCGUGUACGUACAAGCAGUGGGAGCACCUUCGGGUGUGACUGCGUACCUUUUGUAUAAUGGGUCAGCGACUUAUAUUCUGUAGCAAGGUUAACCGUAUAGGGGAGCCGCAGGGAAACCGAGUCUUAACUGGGCGUUAAGUUGCAGGGUAUAGACCCGAAACCCGGUGAUCUAGCCAUGGGCAGGUUGAAGGUUGGGUAACACUAACUGGAGGACCGAACCGACUAAUGUUGAAAAAUUAGCGGAUGACUUGUGGCUGGGGGUGAAAGGCCAAUCAAACCGGGAGAUAGCUGGUUCUCCCCGAAAGCUAUUUAGGUAGCGCCUCGUGAAUUCAUCUUCGGGGGUAGAGCACUGUUUCGGCUAGGGGGUCAUCCCGACUUACCAACCCGAUGCAAACUACGAAUACCGAAGAAUGUUAUCACGGGAGACACACGGCGGGUGCUAACGUCCGUCGUGAAGAGGGAAACAACCCAGACCGCCAGCUAAGGUCCCAAAGUCAUGGUUAAGUGGGAAACGAUGUGGGAAGGCACAGACAGCCAGGAUGUUGGCUUAGAAGCAGCCAUCAUUUAAAGAAAGCGUAAUAGCUCACUGGUCGAGUCGGCCUGCGCGGAAGAUGUAACGGGGCUAAACCAUGCACCGAAGCUGCGGCAGCGACACUAUGUGUUGUUGGGUAGGGGAGCGUUCUGUAAGCCUGCGAAGGUGUGCUGUGAGGCAUGCUGGAGGUAUCAGAAGUGCGAAUGCUGACAUAAGUAACGAUAAAGCGGGUGAAAAGCCCGCUCGCCGGAAGACCAAGGGUUCCUGUCCAACGUUAAUCGGGGCAGGGUGAGUCGACCCCUAAGGCGAGGCCGAAAGGCGUAGUCGAUGGGAAACAGGUUAAUAUUCCUGUACUUGGUGUUACUGCGAAGGGGGGACGGAGAAGGCUAUGUUAGCCGGGCGACGGUUGUCCCGGUUUAAGCAUGUAGGCUGAUUGUCCAGGCAAAUCCGGAUAAUCAAGGCUGAGGUGUGAUGACGAGGCACUACGGUGCUGAAGUAACAAAUGCCCUGCUUCCAGGAAAAGCCUCUAAGCAUCAGGUAACAUCAAAUCGUACCCCAAACCGACACAGGUGGUCAGGUAGAGAAUACCAAGGCGCUUGAGAGAACUCGGGUGAAGGAACUAGGCAAAAUGGUGCCGUAACUUCGGGAGAAGGCACGCUGGUGUGUAGGUGAAGUCCCUGCGGAUGGAGCUGAGACCAGUCGAAGAUACCAGCUGGCUGCAACUGUUUAUUAAAAACACAGCACUGUGCAAACACGAAAGUGGACGUAUACGGUGUGACGCCUGCCCGGUGCCGGAAGGUUAAUUGAUGGGGUUAUCCGUAAGGAGAAGCUCUUGAUCGAAGCCCCGGUAAACGGCGGCCGUAACUAUAACGGUCCUAAGGUAGCGAAAUUCCUUGUCGGGUAAGUUCCGACCUGCACGAAUGGCGUAAUGAUGGCCAGGCUGUCUCCACCCGAGACUCAGUGAAAUUGAACUCGCUGUGAAGAUGCAGUGUACCCGCGGCAAGACGGAAAGACCCCGUGAACCUUUACUAUAGCUUGACACUGAACAUUGAGCCUUGAUGUGUAGGAUAGGUGGGAGGCUUUGAAGCGUGGACGCCAGUCUGCGUGGAGCCAACCUUGAAAUACCACCCUUUAAUGUUUGAUGUUCUAACGUUGGCCCCUUACCGGGGUUGCGGACAGUGUCUGGUGGGUAGUUUGACUGGGGCGGUCUCCUCCCAAAGCGUAACGGAGGAGCACGAAGGUUAGCUAAUCCUGGUCGGACAUCAGGAGGUUAGUGCAAUGGCAUAAGCUAGCUUGACUGCGAGCGUGACGGCGCGAGCAGGUGCGAAAGCAGGUCAUAGUGAUCCGGUGGUUCUGAAUGGAAGGGCCAUCGCUCAACGGAUAAAAGGUACUCCGGGGAUAACAGGCUGAUACCGCCCAAGAGUUCAUAUCGACGGCGGUGUUUGGCACCUCGAUGUCGGCUCAUCACAUCCUGGGGCUGAAGUAGGUCCCAAGGGUAUGGCUGUUCGCCAUUUAAAGUGGUACGCGAGCUGGGUUUAGAACGUCGUGAGACAGUUCGGUCCCUAUCUGCCGUGGGCGCUGGAGAAUUGAGGGGGGCUGCUCCUAGUACGAGAGGACCGGAGUGGACGCAUCACUGGUGUUCGGGUUGUCAUGCCAAUGGCACUGCCCGGUAGCUAAAUGCGGAAGAGAUAAGUGCUGAAAGCAUCUAAGCACGAAACUUGCCCCGAGAUGAGUUCUCCCUGAGACUUUAAGUCUCCUGAAGGAACGUUGAAGACGACGACGUUGAUAGGCCGGGUGUGUAAGCGCAGCGAUGCGUUGAGCUAACCGGUACUAAUGAACCGUGAGGCUUAACCUUACAACGCCGAAG
rnacentral:rRNA from 1 species